UCCCCUAGUAACUGCGAGUGAAGCGGGAAAAGCUCAAAUUUAAAAUCUGGCAGUCUCUGGCUGUCCGAGUUGUAAUCUAGAGAAGUGUUAUCCGCGCUGGACCAUGUACAAGUCUCCUGGAACGGAGCGUCAUAGAGGGUGAGAAUCCCGUCUUUGACAUGGACUACCAGGGCUUUGUGAUGCGCUCUCAAAGAGUCGAGUUGUUUGGGAAUGCAGCUCAAAAUGGGUGGUAAAUUCCAUCUAAAGCUAAAUAUUGGCGAGAGACCGAUAGCGAACAAGUACCGUGAGGGAAAGAUGAAAAGAACUUUGGAAAGAGAGUUAAACAGUACGUGAAAUUGUUGAAAGGGAAACGCUUGAAGUCAGUCGCAUUGGCCAGGGAUCAACCUUACAUUUGUUGGGUGUACUUUCUGGUUAAUGGGUCAGCAUCAAUUUUGACUGUUGGAAAAAGGUCAGGGGAAUGUGGCAUCUUCGGAUGUGUUAUAGCCCUUGGUUGUAUACAGCAGUUGGGAUUGAGGAACUCAGCACGCCGCAAGGCCGGGUUUUUAACCACGUACGUGCUUAGGAUGCUGGCAUAAUGGCUUUAAUCGACCCGUCUUGAAACACGGACCAAGGAGUCUAACAUGCCUGCGAGUGUUUGGGUGGAAAACCCAUGCGCGUAAUGAAAGUGAAA
rnacentral:rRNA from 1 species